rnacentral:rRNA from 1 species
UACGUAGGGUGCAAGCGUUGUCCGGAAUUACUGGGCGUAAAGGGCGCGUAGGCGGACAGUUUAGUCAGAGGUAAAAGCCCAGGGCUCAACCUUGGAACUGCCUUUGAUACUGACUGUCUUGAGUUCGGGAGAGGUGAGUGGAAUGCCGAGUGUAGAGGUGAAAUUCGUAGAUAUUCGGCGGAACACCAGUGGCGAAGGCGACUCACUGGCCCGAUACUGACGCUGAGGCGCGAAAGCGUGGGGAGCAAACAGG